rnacentral:rRNA from 1 species
AUGCCCUCUUCCUCUUCCAUGUUCAUAUCAUCUUGGAGUACUGCCUAUUCUGAAGUUGGUGCAAUGGAGCCUGGAGCUGCACCUUCUGGACCUGGAGCCUGUUCAGGACCUGAAGCCGGCGGCGAUCUGCAGUACCUGGAGGUGGAGUUGGCGAGGCCUUGGGAGGGUGACGGCAAUCUGCAGCAGGGCGCUGGCCUUGGGAUGACGAGGUGGGGAUUUGCUGGCCCAGGACGAGGAGGGGGAUCUGCUGGCCCAGGAAGACGGGGAGGAUGGGAGGGGAUCUGCUGGGUGAGAUGGGAGGCGAUGGAGGUGGAGGAUCCAGAGGUGGGGGCGAUGGAGGUGGAGGAUCCAGAGGUGGGGGCGAUGGAGGUGGAGGAUCCAGAGGUGGGGGCGAUGGAGUUGGAGGAUCCAAAGGUGGGGGACGAUGGAGGCGGGCGGAUCUGGAAGACGACCUGGGUGGAGAUCAAGGAGAGAAUUCAAAAUUGA